rnacentral:rRNA from 1 species
UACGUAGGCAGCAAGCGUUGUUCGGAGUUACUGGGCGUAAAGGGUGCGUAGGCGGCCUUAUAAGUAUGGUGUGAAAUCUCCCGGCUUAACUGGGAGGGUGCGCUAUAGACUGUGGGGCUAGAGUGUGGGAGAGGAAAGUGGAAUUCCUGGUGUAGCGGUGAAAUGCGUAGAUAUCAGGAGGAACACCGGUGGUGUAAACGGCUUUCUGGACCAUAACUGACGCUGAGGCACGAGAGCGUGGGUAGCAAACAGG